UAAUGAGACACAAUACAGUUUGUCAGCUG
rnacentral:piRNA from 2 species